UACGUAGGAUGCAAGCGUUGUCCGGAUUUAUUGGUUUUAAAGGGUGCGUAGGCGGCCUCUUAGGUUAGUGGUGAAAACGUUCGGCGUAACCGGAUACCCGCCAUUGAUACUGAUAGACUUGAGUGCGACAGAGGGUGUUGGAAUGUGUGGUGUAGCGGUGAAAUGCUUAGAUAUCACGCAGAACACCAAUUGCGAAGGCAGAUGCCUAUGUCGUAACUGACGCUGAGGCACGAAAGCGUGGGGAGCAAACAGG
rnacentral:rRNA from 1 species